rfam:Triticum aestivum genome assembly, contig: Triticum_aestivum_CS42_TGACv1_scaffold_513646_6BS
UAAGUACUCCCUCCGUCCGGAAAUACUCGUCGGAGAGAUGGAUGUAUCUAGACGUAUUUUUGUUUUAGAUGCAUCCAUUUCUACGAUAAGUAUUUCCGGACGGAGGGAGUAAUUC